rnacentral:rRNA from 1 species
UAGUGAGUUUGAUCCUGGCUCAGGAUGAACGCUGGCGGUCUGCUUAACACAUGCAAGUCGAACGCAAGUAGAAAUACUUGAGUGGCGGACGGGUGAGUAACGCGUGAGAAUCUGCCUUCUGUUCGGGGACAACCACUGGAAACGGUGGCUAAUACCGGAUAUGCCUAUGGGUGAAAGAUUAAUUGCCAGAAGAAGAGCUCGCGUCUGAUUAGCUAGUUGGAGAGGUAAAGGCCUACCAAGGCGACGACGGAUAGCCGGCCUGAGAGGGUGGCCGGCCACAGGGGCACUGAGACACGGGCCCCACUCCUACGGGGAGGCAGCAGUAGGGAACUCUUCCACAAUGGACGAAAGUCUGAUGGAGCAACGCGCGUGA